AAUACUUUGGGGGUAAGCUUUAGUGCUGGCCUUCAGGCUGAGCUGCUUGUGCCUUAGGCCUCUGUGGACGCUGUGCCUGUGCUGGCCGUCCUGGGAACGUCUUCCUUACUAUUUGGAGGUGUGAGAAGACCGCAGAGAAGAAGUGGUGGCAUUGGGAGCUGACCCCAGCCUGGUCAUUUCCUGUGUUAGCAUCUGACCACAGAUCCAUCUUCCUUCCAGACAAACGAGCAGUAUGAUGUUAAGGCUUCUUUGAUGGACUUCAGGCAAAGGCUGAAGACAGGAAGGAAGAAAAUAGCCAAGGUGUGAGUUAAGAAGGAUCUGCGUGUGAAUAUCAGCAAGACCGUUUUCUUAAAAUGCACCCUCCUGCUGCUCACCUUGCAUGAUCAAUGUCUCCUGCUAACAAGAGUAAAGUGAGAUCAUAUCAGUAUUGCUAUCACAAAUACAAAAUUAGAACAAAAUCCUAGUUAAAAUACAGGACCUGAGCAUGGACAUGCCUGAAAAGAUGAACCCAGAAAGCUCUGUGAAGUAUGGCUGCCUGGAGAGUUAUGAACUCCCCUUGGGAAUUGUGCCUUGAGCUGUUAACUACAAAACCCUUCGCUUGCAUUGUCUACCAAAUGCAUGUAUAGUUCAAAACAGCUAUCUGAAAAUCAUCUCUAAUUUUGUUGGGCUGAAAGUAAGAAUCUGUUUCCCUCUUAUAUUGAAUCUGUCAAAUUACUUGAGCAUGAAGAAUAAGCAGUAAGUUGUAAUAAAGCAGGUAUGAUGAGCUUGAAACAUUGUGCUUUGCCUUCCACCAUCAAUAUAAUGGCUAUAAAUUGUUGCUUAAGCCAUGACAAAUAUAUCUGAAUAUGUGCUUUCACGAAUCUGCGAUGAUGUAUGGAGACAAUGCAUAAAGAAUUGGGGUCUAUUACAGUUCACAGAUAGCAAACAGGAGUGGUUAUAGGUUUAAUGGAUGAUUGAGCAACGUUUCAAAGGUGUUUUACCUUUUCUUGCCUGUCCAUUUACAUCAAGGCCAAGACAGCAGACUGAAAU